UACGUAGGGACCGAGCGUUGUCCGGAUUCAUUGGGCGUAAAGAGCUCGUAGGCGGCCACUCAAGUCGAAUGUGAAACCUCGAGGCUCAACCUCGAGCCUGCAUUCGAUACUGGGCGGCUAGAGUCUGGUAGGGGGAUCUGGAAUUCCUGGUGUAGCGGUGGAAUGCGCAGAUAUCAGGAGGAACACCGGUGGCGAAGGCGGGAUCCUGGGCCAGUACUGACGCUGAGACGCGAAAGCGUGGGGAGCGAACAGG
rnacentral:rRNA from 1 species